rnacentral:rRNA from 1 species
UGGUAAUUCUAGAGCUAAUACAUGCUAAAAACCCCGACUUCGGAAGGGGUGUAUUUAUUAGAUAAAAAACCAAUGCCCUUCGGGGCUCCUUGGUGAAUCAUAAUAACUUAACGAAUCGCAUGGCCUUGCGCCGGCGAUGGUUCAUUCAAAUUUCUGCCCUAUCAACUUUCGAUGGUAGGAUAGUGGCCUACCAUGGUGGCAACGGGUAACGGGGAAUUAGGGUUCGAUACCGGAGAGGGAGCCUGAGAAACGGCUACCACAUCCAAGGAAGGCAGCAGGCGCGCAAAUUACCCAAUCCCGAUACGGGGAGGUAGUGACAAUAAAUACUGAUACAGGGCUCUUUUGGGUCUUGUAAUUGGAAUGAGUACAAUUUAAAUCCCUUAACGAGGAACAAUUGGAGGGCAAGUCUGGUGCCAGCAGCCGCGGUAAUUCCAGCUCCAAUAGCGUAUAUUAAAGUUGUUGCAGUUAAAAAGCUCGUAGUUGAACCUUGGGCCUGGCUGGCCGGUCCGCCUCACCGCGUGUACUGGUCCGGCCGGGCCUUUCCUUCUGGGGAGCCGCAUGCCCUUCAC